UACAGAGGGUGCAAGCGUUAAUCGGACUUACUGGGCGUAAAGCGUGUGUAGGUGGCUCGCUAAGUCGGUUGUGAAAUCCCUGGGCUCAACCUGGGAAUUGCAGUCGAUACUGGCAAGCUAGAGUUCGGUAGAGGACGGCGGAAUUCCCGGUGUAGCGGUGAAAUGCGUAGAUAUCGGGAGGAACAUCGAUGGCGAAGGCAGGUCUCUGGGCCGAUACUGACGCUGAGGAGCGAAAGCGUGGGGAGCGAACAGG
rnacentral:rRNA from 1 species